UACCAGCACCUCGAGUGGUCGGGACGUUUAUUGGGCCUAAAGCAUCCGUAGCCGGUUCUACAAGUCUUCCGUUAAAUCCACCUGCUUAACAGAUGGGCUGCGGAAGAUACUAUGGAGCUAGGAGGCGGGAGAGGCAAGCGGUACUCGAUGGGUAGGGGUAAAAUCCGUUGAUCCAUUGAAGACCACCAGUGGCGAAGGCGGCUUGCCAGAACGCGCUCGACGGUGAGGGAUGAAAGCUGGGGGAGCAAACCGG
rnacentral:rRNA from 1 species